GGGCCCGGGCCUUCUAGCACUGUAGGCGGUGCCUCCCGAGCUCGAUGUCCACGCCACGCUGCGGUGGGAACUUCCUCGCGCUCCCCGCAGGUGGUCAUUUGCCACCUGUCCAUGGGCCUCCCCCAAGGAGCUGCUGGAGGAGCAGCUGCACCCGCUGCCCGCGCACAACUACUUCGAGUUUUUCGCCGCCAACUUGGGAUGCAGAAUAUAAGAAGUUUUUAGAAACCUACUGUGUGGAGAAAGAGAAGACCAGUGUCAACCCUGAGACUGCUGGGGGAGAUGGAGGCGAAGACAAGAGAGCUCAUUGCUAGAAGAACUACACCUGUUUUGGAAUAUAUUAAAAAUAGAAAAUUAGAGAAGCAGAGAAUUCGGGAAGAGAAGCGAUUAAGAACGGAGGAGGAGAGAGUUAGAAAAGUUUGCGUUUGCGGGAAAAGUUCCCGUUUGCGGGAAGAGGAAAAAGAAGAAGAAAGAUGCAAAACAAAAAAGAAAAUUGCAGAGAAAGAAGUAAGGGUUAAGGUCACACGGCGGCAGUGAUAAAGAGCACAGGGAUGUGGAGACAUCUCAAGAAAAAGAAUCUGAAGCACAAAGACACCAUGUGGAUGACAGCAGGAGGCACAGAUCUCACCACGAGCCUGACCGGCUUUCCAGCAGGAGUGAAGAUGAGCAGACAUGGGGUAAAGAACCUGGCCAAGACAGAGGGAAGAAGGGGAGCCAGGACAGCGGGGCUCCUGGGGAGGCUGUGGAGAGACCGGGAAGAGCUCAGAGGUGUGAGGACGGUCUGGCACCCAGAAAGGAGCGACUGGCAAACAAGGACCAGCCGGCCUUGCGGCUGUAUGAUCCGGGAGCUUGCUUCCGAGCACGAGAGUGUGGUGGAAGCGGGAGGAACUGCAAGGCAGAAGGUUCGGGGACUGGUCCUGAGAAGAGUGGAGGAAGAGGCAGAGUGAGUCACUGCGCGCACCUGGCCUCCAUGAACUAGUGAGGGCAUCCCAGAAACAUGUAAAUGACCCCGAGUGUGACGGGAAAGGAGAACUUACUCCUUACCAGGAAGCUGGAAGCUAAAAAUAGAGAGGGUGACAUAGAAACACGCAGAAACCAUUCUAAAGAAAGUAGUGUCAAGUCUUACAUUGAACAGAAUUCUCACGGAUUUUACCAUUCCUGUUAUAAACUAGUAUUUGUUGUUUAGCCAGACCAGAAAAUGAUUUCCAUUGGACAGUAGAAAAAUGUGUGUAAAAUAGGGAAGAAAGUUAGUAUUGGAUCAGUGCGAGUCCUGAAGCACUUUCAGUGCUCUGAGAAAGACAUCCACUUUGGGUUUCAUUUGUUUGUAAGCAGAAGAGCUGUCAGUCUCUUGUGCUUCUCUGUGGCCUCCAAGCCGUGGUGUCGAGUAAAGAGCAGUUGUUUGUUACAACCUUUGUGAGUCAGCCAUGCCUGCAAAGUGUGCUGUGUUUUAGUCCUGGUAGGAAUAUAUACCACAGUUCACACUAUGUAAAACUCAGCAGCUUCAACUAUUGCCCUUUCAACAGUUUUGCCACUGACUAGAUGAAAAUGGUUUCACAGUCUUUGGAAGGAUGCAUUUGUGGUUUGUAACCGUUAUGGUUUAAAUCAUCGUUUAAGAAUUUGCCCAAAUAACAGAAAUUUUGUUCGGGAAGGGAUAAACUAGGUAUAGCAUAUAGAGCCUGUCUUUGAGUUUUAGACACUUUAUUUGUAAAUAACUGAAAAUAGCUUUCUGAAACCGUGCAUUCUACAAUUUCUUCCUUUCAGUGAAAUUAUUAAAUGUUAAUGUAUUUUUGGCACUGCGAUUUUAACCAUUUAUUAAAUAAAAAUUUUGUUUAAAAUGCUCAACAUCACUAAUGGUCAGGGAAAUGCAAAUCAAAACUACAAUGC